GGAGACAUCAGGUCAGGCGG
rnacentral:rRNA from 2 species